rnacentral:rRNA from 1 species
AUUGAACGCUGGCGGCAGGCCUGACACAUGCAAGUCGAGCGGGGUUUUCGGACCUAGCGGCGGACGGGUGAGUAAUGCGUAGGAAGCUGCCCGAUAGAGGGGGAUACCAGUUGGAAACGACUGUUAAUACCGCAUAAUGUCUACGGACCAAAGUGUGGGACCUUCGGGCCACAUGCUAUCGGAUGCGCCUACGUAGGAUU